GCAAGUCGAACGGUAUUUUCUAAGUGAAUGCUUCGGUUGAAGCUUAGAAGAGAGAGUGGCAAACGGGUGCGUAACACGUUAGCAACCUGCCCUAAAGACUGGGAUAGCUCGAGGAAACUCGAAUUAAUACUGGAUGUGGCACGCAGACACCUGUCUGCAGUGCUAAACGCUCGAAAAGGCGCUUUAGGAGGGGCUCGCGGCCUAUCAGCUUGUUGGUGAGGUAAAAGCUCACCAAGGCAAAGACGGGUAGCUGGUCUGAGAGGAUGAUC
rnacentral:rRNA from 1 species